GCCCUCGUGGCCCAACUGGCAGAGGCAGGCCCCUUAAAAGGGCUCCAGGUGCGGGUUCGAGUCCCGUCGAGGGCA
rnacentral:tRNA from 1 species